ensembl:lncRNA
UUGCAAAACCACACAAAAGUACAAAUCUGAUAAAGAAUUAAAUUGUAAAUUUGUCAAAAUACAAUACAAAAACCAUCUAAAAUACAGCAGAAAUCUAUUGCAGGCCUAUAUAUUCCUGAGUGCUGGAUAUGAUCCACAGUAACAAUAAAUGAGAAUGGAAAUUGAUCAAAUUCUGGGCGUAAGAUACACUGUUCACACACGGUUCCCAGGCCCUGCUAGUCCACUUCAGACCCACCACCUCCUCCCCUCCCUAAAGAACCUCCCUCCAGGAAGUCCUUUCACAACGCACUCAUCGUCAUCCACAGAGCCGUAGUCUUCAUCCUGUCCUCCGGGGGCAGAAAGCAGAAGGAGGGGCAGACGUGUGGCGUAAUCCUUGAGGUUACGAGUCGGUGAUUGAGCGGAACUGGCCCAGGAGUUGGAGUGGGGGGUAAUCCCUGAGGUGAAGGGUCCUACCCUGGGGGGUAAUCCCUGAGGUGGAAGGUCCUACCCUGGGGGGUAAUCCCUGAGGUGAAGGGGUCCUACCCUAGGGGGUAAUCCCUGAGGUGAAGGGUCCAACCCUGGGGGGUAAUCCCUGAGGUGAUGGGUCCUACCCUGGGGGGUAAUCCCUGAGGUGAAGGGUCCUACCUUGGGGGUAAUCCCUGAGGUGGAGGGUCCUACCUUGGGGGUAAUCCCUGAGGUGGAGGGUCCUACCCUAGGGGGUAAUCCCUGAGGUGGAGGGUCCAACCGUGGGGGGGAUUCCCUGAGGUGAAGGGUCCAACCCUGGGGGGUAAUCCCUGAGGUGAUGGGUCCUACCCUGGGGGGUAAUCCCAGAGGUGAGGGUCCUACCCUGGGGGGUAAUCCCUGAGGUGAAGGGUCCUACCCUAGGGGGUAGUCCCUGAGGUGAAGGGUCCUACCCUUGGGGGUAAUCCCUGAGGUGAAGGGUCCAACCCUGGGGGGUAAUCCCUGAGGUGAAGGGUCCUACCUUGGGGGUAAUCCCUGAGGUGAUGGGUCCUACCCUGGGGGGUAAUCCCUGAGGUGAAGGGUCCUACCCUGGGGGGUAAUCCCUGAGGUGGAGGGUCCUACCCUGGGGUGGAGGGUCCUACCCUGGGGGGUAAUCCCUGAGGUGAAGGGUCCUACAGUGGGGGGGUGGGGGUCGUCAGUAGGUUAUGAUGAGUGUCAGUAUCCUGUUCCCUUCUGUAGGCGGGGCCAAGAGGGUCUAGCUGCAGACCUCUCUCUCAGGCUGAGAGAGGAUCCUGAACUGAUCCUGGACCAGUUUACAGUCCCCCCAUAGAAGAAUAACAUGACGGGAACAAUAAUUAACGUCGACUUUUGAGGGAGAAUUUAAGAAAACCUAUAUACAUGUCGCGGAAACGGUGAUCCCCUUAUAGGAAGUCCCGCCCACCCUCUCGCUAAUAUCGCCCAUUCGGAGCAUCCCGUUCCAGGCAUCCCGUCUUUAGAUGAGGACGCCUGGAAACAACCGGGUAAAGGCUGCUGAAUGUUUUAGAUUGUUCUUCCUUUGUAUUUAACCUCACUUCCAUAUCCCCAUGUAGCAGGCCUAGGACUAUUUUACAUGUAUCCUUUUUAUGUUAAGUAAAAGAUUAA